GUAACAUCAUAUGUAGGUAACUGAUGCGCUCUAUCGCCCUGAGUUAUUCAACACACAUUAAGCGUGCACUCAAACAGCAUUGUGGUGAAAUACCAUGACACUACCUUGAGCGACUGUCACACUUGCCAAAAGUAGCGGUGUAAGUUAAAGAAAACAUGUAGAAUGCGAGCGCAAACAUUAAAUGAGCGACGAAAGAGAGAGUUGGCAAGACGACGAAAAGGUGCAAUCAACAAUGAGCCACACCACACACUAGCAGUUCAUGGCAGAGCCAGUAAGCAAAGCAAAAGCGGCUAGCAAGUGGUGAAGCGCAUGCAAAAUGCAAUGUGUGUAUAUGACAAGAAAGUGGUGGUGGUAGUGGUGUGCUGGUGGUGGUGAAAAAGUCGCAUUGGCGCUGCAAAGAAAAUAAACAAAUGGAGCUGACGGCAAGAGCAGCACGAAACGACACAACUGAGCGCAUAAGAAGUCAAGGGUGUGCGUUUACACAUACAAACACGCAUACGAAUUUGUGUGAUGUGCAUAUACGUACAUUUGUGUGCAUAUAUACAUACAUUUGUAUAUGUAUAUUGGCGUGUUCGGCUGAGCGCCAGUUACUGUGGUGAAUACUUGUACGCUGGCACAGCAUUUGCGCUGUUAUGCCUUUCUGUAUCGUUUGUGUGCCGUCUGCUGUUGUCUGCUCGGAAUCGCUUUCAUUGAUUUCAGUAUUUGUUUGGACUUCAACGCUGGCGGUGUACAAAUCGGUUGUUAUACGAACAUAUACUACUAACGGCAGCGUGUAGAGGCAGAGACGAGUACGCUUUUCAACGCAAUAGCGCAAAAAACAUAGAAAGAAACACUUCUUACUCGUCGCCCCAGUGCUAUGACACUACAAAUAAAUACAUACAUACAUGAAUACAUGUGUAUAUAAUACAAGUUAGAAACAAGUGAAAGAAAACAUCAAAUAGUGGCUUGCUGUAUUUUAUAGUGUUUUAUGAAAGCGGAGAGCAAGCAAGCAAAAAUUAAUAUAUAUUCGUACAUACAUAUAUAUUUUUGCAUACGUAAACCUGUGAAGAAGUAGCUGAAAAAAUAUUUUAUUGAAAUUACAAAGUACCUACAACUUAAAAAAUAUAAUAUAUUUAUAAAAAAAUAUAUAAAUAUAUUCUAACUGGCAGCAGUGCUGAAAAUACAAAAUUGCAACUAGUAAUUGUGAAAACGCGUGUUCGUUAGCGGCCGGUCGUCGUGUUGACUGUAAAUAUUUGGCGUUUUUCGGUAGUUUCUCUGCGACGUUGACGUUAGUUGCUGCCGGGACGCGCAAAAUUGAACGUGAUCGUGCGUGCAUUGAAAGUGCAUGCUGUAACAACAACAACAAUAUUUACAACAGCAAGUAAAACGUGUUAACCAGUGAAUGCGAAAAUCAAGGCGCAAAAUCAAUAAAUAAUUCAUAUUUUAGACGCCACAAAAUUAAUAAAUAAAUAGUUGAGUGCAAGUUCAAAAAAAAAAUAUAUAUAUAUAUACAUAUAUACACUUAAAAACAAAAUAAAAAAAAAUCGAAACAAAAAUUUUGAAAAAAGUUUCGAAAAUUUUUUUUGGAAAAAUUAAAAAAUAAAAAUUUCGUACAAAAUUAAAAAAAUAAAAUAAAAUAAAAAAAUCCGUAAUAAAAAUUAAAAAACAAUUUUCUACAAAAUUAAAAAAACCAAUCUGAAAUUCAAAAAUUCCCACAUUGUUCGCACAAUUCAAAAUUUCGCUAACCAAAAUCGCUGUGUCGCUAAACAUGUGUGCUCAUGUGUUUAAAAAUACGCCAACAACAUAAAUACUACGGAACUGCAAACAAAGUGCGCACGAACAACUACAACGGCAAAAAGGCGUAAAAAGUGUGAAGCGAAAGGCAGAAAUUUGCCAUAAAACAGCAGAAACGUUUUACUUUGAGUGAAAGGCGACUACAAGUUUUGCUAAAAAGUGCAAAUUAACAACAAGAAUUCAAAUUAACAAAAUAGUAACAACAAAAGCAGGCAGCUAGCUAGUUGAGAACCGAAUGUGUGGAGAAAGUAGGCGCUGCAAAAUAGAGAAGCAGCAGCGUUAAAGUGACCAAAUGCUCAAAGGAAGGGCAGUGGCAUAGAAAAUAAAGCAACGAGACGGUGCAAUAAAACAACAAUAACAACAAAAGAACGCUUUUAAGCAGCCGCAACACGUAUUUGCCUUGACUUUUCGCCUUUUCGAGCAGCAAAAGAACAACGCGCAGCACGUAGCAACUGCCUGACUAAAUGUAUCUGCUGCGAAAAAGGCAUCAUUGAAGUCUAGCAAGCGCCCUACCAAUACAUUUUAUUAUAAAUGUUACAUAGAGCUGAAAUUCUUACUCAGCUUCUUCUAUGAUUCUAAUGCCAGCGGCGUCUGAAACUUAUAUAAAAGUUAUCUGAUAGCAGCAAGCUACAGCAGCAACAAACACCCACACAUGCCACACGUCGAAGGUGUUGUUGCUGUUGUUAUCCCGAAGGUGCGUCUGGCAUUUUAUCAAAUUCUAUUCGCAUUUCUUUUUCUUGUUACUUUCUGUACGACAUAACUGCUGCGUGUAACUGUCUGCUCAAGGUCUGUACCACAACAAGAUUAUAAAAAAGCAGAUAAUAAAAACGAAAUGUCAGGAGGACGCAACAAAUAAAAAAUCAGCAGCUGAGCGGAAUUGAGCUGUGCUGCUUAGCUGAAAUGCGAGUUGGCGGCUGUCUGGCACAGUAAUGCGGCAAGUGAGUUAGGAAGAAAGUCAACAGCAACAAAUAACAAAAUCACACACAGUCAGUGCGCAGAAAGCUGCGCUGGUGAAGAAAAAGAGCACAAAGAAAUA